rnacentral:rRNA from 1 species
CCUACGGGUGGCAGCAGUGGGGAAUAUUGGACAAUGGGCGAAAGCCUGAUCCAGCCAUGCCGCGUGUGUGAAGAAGGCCUUCGGGUUGUAAAGCACUUUCAGUGGGGAAGAAAGCCUUGGGGCUAAUACCCUCGAGGAAGGACAUCACCCACAGAAGAAGCACCGGCUAACUCCGUGCCAGCAGCCGCGGUAAUACGGAGGGUGUGAGCGUUAAUCGGAAUUACUGGGCGUAAAGCGCGCGUAGGCGGUCUGAUAAGCCGGUUGUGAAAGCCCCGGGCUCAACCUGGGAACGGCAUCCGGAACUGUCAGGCUAGAGUGCAGGAGAGGAAGGUAGAAUUCCCGGUGUAGCGGUGAAAUGCGUAGAGAUCGGGAGGAAUACCAGUGGCGAAGGCGGCCUUCUGGACUGACACUGACGCUGAGGUGCGAAAGCGUGGGUAGCAAACAGGAUUAGAUACCCGUGUAGUC